UACGAAGGGGGCUAGCGUUGUUCGGAAUCACUGGGCGUAAAGCGCACGUAGGCGGAUUUGUAAGUCAGGGGUGAAAUCCCGAGGCUCAACCUCGGAACUGCCUUUGAUACUGCAAAUCUCGAGUCCGGAAGAGGUGAGUGGAAUUCCUAGUGUAGAGGUGAAAUUCGUAGAUAUUAGGAAGAACACCAGUGGCGAAGGCGGCUCACUGGUCCGGUACUGACGCUGAGGUGCGAAAGCGUGGGGAGCAAACAGG
rnacentral:rRNA from 1 species